AAUCACUGAGUGGCAUCAGCCCCUGACGAGGUGAACCGUACCAGGUAAGUAAAGACGGGUCUUC
rnacentral:ncRNA from 1 species